ACAGAAAAUAAUGAGAAUGAAAUUUUAAAAAUGUUUCCUAUGUGAUAGCUUAUCACAGGUGACUAUUCCAGGUGUUAUGGUAAAGGGACAGCUUGGUGCUGUCAGCCUCACUGACCAUGCAUUUAUAAAGCACCAAAGUGCGUGUGAUGCUGCUGGGCACUGGAGAUGGGACCAGGUGCUGCUGCACACGUAUGCACACACCAUGCAUACAUGCACACACACCACACACGCAUGCACACAGUGCACACGUGCACACACCAUGCAUACACACCACACACCGUGCACACGUGCACACACCAUGCAUACACACCACACACAGUGCACACAUGCGCACACCAUGCAUACACACCAUACAUGCAUGAUCACACGUGCACACACCAUACAUACCCACCACGCAUGCACACACACAAUGCACAGGUGCACACACCAUGCAUACACACCACACAAUGCAAUCGUGCACACACAAUGCACACGUGCACACACCAUGCAUACACACCACACAAUGCAAUCAUGCACACAAUGCACACGUGCACACACCAUGCAUACAUACCACACAUGCACACACGUGUGCA
rnacentral:lncRNA from 10 species